AAAUAUUUAGUUUAAAAAGAACAUUGUAUUUGCACUACAAAGGCACAGUUUUGUAGUAUUUA
rnacentral:tRNA from 1 species